GAGCUGGUAACACAAGCUCCAUGCCCCUUCCAUCUUGAAGACUUCGGGGAGCAGCCUUUGUUUCAGCCAGCACAAGGAUCUUCAAGAGCACAACCCUCACGUGACGGGAGAGCUCCCUGUUUGAUAAUCCGGAGACAAGACUGUGACAAAAGAAUGGAAUGUGUCCCUUUGCUUUCCUCACCUGCCACAAACCCUGCAAUAGGUAUGAAGAGCCCGGGGCCCCUGAUCUGCGGGAAGCAGGGAGUUGACAGCAGCGUUCCUGCCCGGAGAUAUCUUUUAAAGCCUUUACAGUUCCUUGAACUGAAAGCACUCUCUGCAGUAAAGCUAUAAAUAAGUAAGCAUCCAUUUAAAAUGGAGAGGGUAAAGGCGACCAGCACUAGGCACGAAUGUGAAAGAUGGGAGAAAGAUUAAAAUAGAGAAAACCAUUCCUGUGACUAUCUAGUACUUGUUAUUACAGCACCUGGUCUAAUGUCCCCUGGCCAAACGGCUUCUGCUGAAUCUUAUGUUUCCUCCUUUCACUCCCACAGCCUGUGCCACAGUCAGUACCAUCGUUUCUAAGCACCUUUCACACCAGAGAUGCCUCUCCCUCCUCUUUCCCCUCUUCCUUCCUCUCCCUGCCCCCUUGCUGCGUUCUCAUCAUUCAUUCUAUCCACAUUCAUUCUAACUAUUCCAAUUGUCACCUGUCCAUGCAGCAGCACUGGCUUCAGGAAAAUGCCACCAUCUUUGAGUGGCCAUAAAAUGGUGCACAUGUGGGCGAGAAAGAGGGAAAGGGGAAAGAAGGCAGGAAAGAAAGGAAGAUCCUGAGAUUUCCGUGGCUCUUGACUCCACUCUCUCCAAGUGCCGGUGUUUUAAAGCAGUUGCAGUUCACUUCACUGUACUAAUGUGCCUUUAAAAAAAAUAAGAUUAGGUCUGCAUUAUGCUUAUCUGCAGUGAGUUGAAAGCAGAACCCUGCUGGCUACGUGCAGAGCUGUAUGAGUUCUAUGAAACUCAAGGCUGAGAUCAACACUGAACCAGCAUGAGAGAGAAGGCAAACAGGAGAGAGGUGCUAGGGCACUGUGGUUCAUGUUGGCAAGCAACAGUGGAAUUCAUUGCCUCAAAAAUAACCUCCAAGAAUCCAGGAUAGAUAUUUUGAGUUGAGAAAGUUAGCAAGCGUUUGUUCAGAAGAGAAUAUUUUGAAAGAAAUAUUUUCUUUCCAGUUCCGGCUUCCCCGAGUUAAACAAAGACAUAGAAAACUUUGAGAGGGCUUGGAGGCAUUACCGCAUACAUGAUGAUCAGAAAGUGGGUCCUGGGAGUUAAGGUUAAAGGAUUCGGGGUUAUUGUUUAGCUGCUAGAAGAGAUGAUAAAAGAAAGAUCAAGUAAUGGGUUUUCGGGGAUGAAGAUUGUUUACGGUGGAUUUCACUGAGGGGAGACCAAGAAAAUAAAAAUAAUUAUGGUA